rnacentral:rRNA from 1 species
GGGGAAUAUUGCACAAUGGGGGAAACCCUGAUGCAGCGACGCCGCGUGAGGGAAGACGGUUUUCGGAUUGUAAACCUCUGUCUUUAGGGACGAAAAAAUGACGGUACCUAAGGAGGAAGCCACGGCUAACUACGUGCCAGCAGCCGCGGUAAUACGUAGGUGGCAAGCGUUGUCCGGAAUUACUGGGUGUAAAGGGAGCGUAGGCGGGGAGACAAGUUGAAUGUCUAAACUAUCGGCUUAACUGAUAGUCGCGUUCAAAGCUAUCACUCUUGAGUGCAGUAGAGGUAGGCGGAAUUCCUAGUGUAGCGGUGAAAUGCGUAGAUAUUAGGAGGAACACCAGUGGCGAAGGCGGCCUACUGGGCUGUAACUGACGCUGAGGCUCGAAAGCGUGGGUAGCAAACAGGAUUAGAUACCCUGGUAGUCCACGCCGUAAACGAUGAUUACUAGGUGUGGGGGGACUGACCCCUUCCGUGCCGGAGUUAACACAAUAAGUAAUCCACCUGGGGAGUACGACCGCAAGGUUGAAACUCAAAGGAAUUGACGGGGGCCCGCACAAGCAGUGGAGUAUGUGGUUUAAUUCGAAGCAACGCGAAGAACCUUACCAGGUCUUGACAUCGAGCGACGAACUUAGAGAUAAGUUUUUCCUUCGGGACGCGAAGACAGGUGGUGCAUGGUUGUCGUCAGCUCGUGUCGUGAGAUGUUGGGUUAAGUUCCGCAACGAGCGCAACCCUUAUCAUUAGUUGCUACGCAAGAGCACUCUAAUGAGACUGCCGUUGAUAAAACGGAGGAAGGUGGGGAUGACGUCAAAUCAUCAUGCCCCUUAUGACCUGGGCUACACACGUACUACAAUGGUGAUCAAACAGAGGGAAGCAACACAGCGAUGUGAAGCAAAUCCCGAAAAAUCAUCUCAGUUCAGAUUGCAGGCUGCAACUCGCCUGCAUGAAGUCGGAAUUGCUAGUAAUCGCGGAUCAGCAUGCCGCGGUGAAUACGUUCCCG